AUGAAUGUAUUAUAAUUUAGGAGCCCCAAUUUAUAAAUUAAAAAUUACAAAAUCACUUCAUUUGGGAAGAGUCGGAUUUCAUCUUCAGCUGAUGACAAGUGAGAAAACAACCAUUGCAAAUUUGCAAUAUUGCAUGGUGCCGUGACUGCCGUCACCUAGGGCUUUCACAGCACUAACACUCCCAAGUCCCAAUUCCCAAAUCGAAGCUGCUCUCCGCCUCUCCGGCCUCCGCCAGUCCGCCGCGCUCUACGCCUCCUGUCGGCUGUGUCCUGCCGUGCUGGUUCAUCGCUGCCGAGUGUCGAAGACGAAGCACCAAGAUCUCACUGGUUCAUCGCUGGUUCAUCACUGCUCAUCUCUGGCUCGCUUAGGUGGUAGCAACUAAAGAUUGAUAGUGAUGUCUAUCACUUUCUUGGCGAUCAAUAAAGCCCCUCAUUUGGUUGGAAGCUUCGAAGCUUGUACAAGUUCUUUCAACUUUUGCAACCUGAAGAAUCUUUUGUUUUAAUUUUAUGCUAGUGGCAGCAUUGUUUGCUAUUGUUAUAGAACUUUGAACAACUUUUCUGAUUAAUUUGCUAUGCUAGUAUUGAUUAUGACUUUUAUUCUAAGAAAUGGUAUUGGAGCAAUUGGAUUUGCUUUUAAAAUACUAGAUCAUUUUAUAAUUUCAUAAUUUUUUCUUCAUAUAUAGCUGAUUGCAAAUUGUAUAACAGGGAGUACUAGUAGGUUGUUUCAUCCUUUAAAAAAAAUAAAAUCUCUUGGCAGGUUAAAGUGUCGGC